GAUGAACGCUGGCUACAGGCUUAACACAUGCAAGUCGAGGGGAAACGACGGGGAAGCUUGCUUCCCCGGGCGUCGACCGGCGCACGGGUGAGUAACGCGUAUCCAACCUGCCUCUGACUGAGGGAUAACCCGUCGAAAGUCGGCCUAAUACCUCAUGGCAUCGUCUGCGGGCAUCCAACGACGAUUAAAGAUUUCAUCGGUCAGGGAUGGGGAUGCGUCUGAUUAGCUUGUUGGCGGGGUAACGGCCCACCAAGGCUACGAUCAGUAGGGGUUCUGAGAGGAAGGUCCCCCACAUUGGAACUGAGACACGGUCCAAACUCCUACGGGAGGCAGCAGUGAGGAAUAUUGGUCAGUGGGCGGGAGCCUGAACCAGCCAAGUAGCGUGCAGGAUGACGGCCCUAUGGGUUGUAAACUGCUUUUAUGCGGGGAUAAAGUGAGGGACGUGUCCUUCAUUGCAGGUACCGCAUGAAUAAGGACCGGCUAAUUCCGUG
rnacentral:rRNA from 1 species